rnacentral:lncRNA from 10 species
GAAGAGAUUAAGAGAAGAGAAAGUAGCAAGGCCCCUACCUAGAAAUCAUUUUUGUUAAAUGGUUGUCUGAACAAAGUCCUCCCUCCUCCAAACCCUAGAACCUGGAAGCCUCACCUGCAACUGGAAGCAUGUUGAUCAGGAACUGAGGAUCCUUGAUCCUCAGACAUAGCCAUUUCUAUCAAACCAUGUACCUGAGAAUGCUCUUCUUGGAGUCCAUCCCAAGCAGAGGAAAUUGGACAGAAAGUAGGACAAUCCCAGGAGGAUCCACCUUGGGAGGGGGCAGGGACCAGCCUCUACUGGAGCUUCUGGCCUCCUGUUUGAUUUGUGUUCCUGAAUUAUCCAUGAAAUUUUCAAUAGCUUAGCGAGCAAUGGUUUCAAUCUUCAGGAGCAGAGGUCCCCCUCAGCCCCUGAGAGAUGCUGAGCUGGUGAUGGUGGCGUCACCAAAGGGGGUAAAAUCAGAAAAGAAACGGACUUAGCAGGGCACACAGUCUGCUCCUGGAACAACGACGCGUCCCCUCACAUUUCUUUGAGCCCAGGAUCAUGAAUCCCCAAAGCAUGAAGUCUGGAAGGAAACUUCAGACUCACCUGAUGUUUUAGAGGUCCCUGGAGGCCCCAAACAAACUGAAUGGGACCGCUGAGGCCAGCACAGGUCCCAGCUCCUCCCCAGGGCCCCUUCAUUCCACUGUGCAGCACAGAGAGAUGCUGUCCUGCCGAGCAGCCUCCCAAGACAUGACAUUAUCUAGGUCAGCUCAAGUCAAAGCUGAAGACAAGACU